rnacentral:rRNA from 1 species
AUACGUAGGUGGCAAGCGUUAUCCGGAUUUACUGGGCGUAAAGGGAGCGUAGGCGGAUAUUUAAGUGGGAUGUGAAAUACCCGAGCUUAACUUGGGAGCUGCAUUCCAAACUGGAUAUCUAGAGUGCAGGAGAGGAGAAUGGAAUUCCUAGUGUAGCGGUGAAAUGCGUAGAGAUUAGGAAGAACACCAGUGGCGAAGGCGGCUUUCUGGACUGUAACUGACACUGAGGCUCGAAAGCGUGGGGAGC